rnacentral:rRNA from 1 species
UCGCUACUACCGAUUGAAUGGCUUAGUGAGACCCUCGGAUUGACAAUUUUUUGUUGGCAACGACAAGAAGUUAUUGAGAAGUUGGUCAAACUUGGUCAUUUAGAGGAAGUAA